rnacentral:rRNA from 1 species
AUACGUAGGGGGCUAGCGUUAUCCGGAAUUACUGGGCGUAAAGGGUGCGUAGGUGGUUUCUUAAGUCAGCUGUAAAAGGCAUGAGCUUAACUCAUAGAUUGCAGUUGAAACUGUUUCUCUUGAGUGGAGUAGAGGUAAGCGGAAUUCCGAGUGUAACGGUGAAAUGUGUAGAGAUUCGGAGGAACACCAGUGGCGAAGGCGGCUUACUGGGCUCUAACUGACGCUGAGGCUCGAAAGUGUGGGGAGCAAACAGGAUUAGAUACCCUGGUAGUCCACACUGUAAACGAUGAUUACUAGGUGUGGGGGGUCUGACCCCCUCCGUGCCGCAGUUAACGCAAUAAGUAAUCCACCUGGGGAGUACGACCGCAAGGUUGAAACUCAAAGGAAUUGGCGGGG